GACGAACGCUGGCGGCGCGCUUAACACAUGCAAGUCGAACGGAAAGGCCUGCUUUCCCUUGUGGAUUGCGGGUACUCGAGUGGCGAACGGGUGAGUAACACGUGAGUGAUCUGCCCCCAACUUGGGUAUAAGCCUGGGAAACUGGGUCUAAUUCCCGAUAGGACUGCAGGGUGGUGCCUGUGGUGGAAAACGAUUUUCUAGUGGUUGGGGAUGAGCUCGCGGCCUAUCAGCUUGUUGGUGGGGUAAUGGCCUACCAAGGCGGCGACGGGUAGCCGGCCUGGGAGGGUGGACGGCCACAUUGGGACUGAGAUACGGCCCAGACUCCUACGGGAGGCAGCAGUGGGGAAUAUUGCACAAUGGGCGGAAGCCUGAUGCAGCGACGCCGCGUGGGGGAUGACGGCCUUCGGGUUGUAAACUCCUUUCGACCGCGAGGAAGCCACCUGGUUGGAAGGGUGGUGACGGUAGUAGUAGAAGAAGCACCGGCUAACUACGUG
rnacentral:rRNA from 1 species